rnacentral:rRNA from 1 species
AUUGAACGCUGGCGGCAGGCCUAACACAUGCAAGUCGAGCGAGCGGCGGACGGGUGAGUAAUGUAUGGGGAACUGCCUGAUGGAGGGGGAUAACUACUGGAAACGGUAGCUAAUACCGCAUACCAUCAGAUGAACCCAUAUGGGAUUAGCUAGUAGGUAAGGUAACGGCUUACCUAGGCGACGAUCCCUAGCUGGUCUGAGAGGAUGAUAAGCCACACGGGGUCUGAGACACGGCCCAGACCCCUACGGGAGGCAGCAGUGGGGAAUAUUGCACAAGGGGCGCAAGCCUGAGUCAGCCAUGCCGCGUGUAUGAAGAAGGCCUUCGGGUUGUAAAGUACUUUCAGUCGGGAGGCGUUACGGACAGAAGAAUCACCGGCUAACUCCGUGCCAGCAGCCGCGGUAAUAC